CGAGGGGAUAGGUUUUCGGACCUAGAGACCGGCGCACGGGUGCGUAACGCGUAUGCAAUCUACCUUUUACAGAGGGAUAGCCCAGAGAAAUUUGGAUUAAUACCUCAUAGUAUUAUUGAAUGGCAUCAUUUAAUAAUUAAAGUCACAACGGUAAAAGAUGAGCAUGCGUCCCAUUAGCUUGUUGGUAAGGUAACGGCUUACCAAGGCAACGAUGGGUAGGGGUCCUAAGAGGGAGAUCCCCCACACUGGUACUGAGACACGGACCAGACUCCUACGGGAGGCAGCAGUGAGGAAUAUUGGUCAAUGGGCGCAAGCCUGAACCAGCCAUGCCGCGUGCAGGAUGAAGCAUCUAUGGUGUGUAAACUGCUUUUGUACGAGAAGAAACACUCCUACGUGUAGGAGCUUGACGGUAUCGUAAGAAUAAGGACCGGCUAACUCCGUGCCAGCAGCCGCGGUAAUACGGAGGGUCCAAGCGUUAUCCGGAAUCAUUGGGUUUAAAGGGUCCGUAGGCGGUUUUGUAAGUCAGUGGUGAAAGCCCAUCGCUCAACGGUGGAACGGCCAUUGAUACUGCAAGACUUGAAUUAUUAGGAAGUAACUAGAAUAUGUAGUGUAGCGGUGACAUGCUUAGAGAUUACAUGGAAUACCAAUUGCGAAGGCAGGUUACUACUAAUGGAUUGACGCUGAUGGACGAAAGCGUGGGGAGCGAACAGGAUUAGAUACCCUGGUAGUCCACCCCCUAAACGAUGGAUACU
rnacentral:rRNA from 1 species